AGCGAACGUUAGCGGCGGGCCUAACACAUGCAAGUCGAACGCGAAAGGUCUUCGGACUGAGUAGAGUGGCGCACGGGUGAGUAACACGUAGGUAAUCUACCCUUUGGCGGGGGAUAACGUUCCGAAAGGAGCGCUAAUACCGCAUAAGACCACGGAGUCUCCGGACGCUGUGGGAAAAGGUGGCCUCUUCUUGAAAGCUGCCACCGAAGGAUGAGCCUGCGUCCCAUCAGCUAGUUGGUAAGGUAAUGGCUUACCAAGGCGAAGACGGGUAGCUGGUUUGAGAGAAUGAUCAGCCACACUGGCACUGGAACACGGGCCAGACUCCUACGGGAGGCAGCAGUGAGGAAUAUUGGGCAAUGGGCGAAAGCCUGACCCAGCCACGCCGCGUGAGUGAUGAAGGCCCUCGGGUCGUAAAGCUCUGUGGAGAGGGACGAAAACCCUGGUUUCAAAUAGGCUCCAGGCUUGACGGUACCUCUUUAGCAAGCACCGGCUAACUCUGUGCCAG
rnacentral:rRNA from 1 species